rnacentral:rRNA from 1 species
UGGGGAAUAUUGCACAAUGGGGGAAACCCUGAUGCAGCGACGCCGCGUGAAUGAAGAAGGUAUUCGUAUCGUAAAGUUCUGUCCUAUGGGAAGAUAAUGACAGUACCAUAGAAGAAAGCUCCGGCUAAAUACGUGCCAGCAGCCGCGGUAAUACGUAUGGAGCGAGCGUUGUCCGGAAUUAUUGGGCGUAAAGGGUACGCAGGCGGUUUAAUAAGUCGAAUGUUAAAGAUCGGGGCUCAACCCCGUAAAGCAUUGGAAACUGAUAAACUUGAGUAGUGGAGAGGAAAGUGGAAUUCCUGGUGUAGUGGUGAAAUACGUAGAUAUUAGGAGGAAUACCAGUAGCGAAGGCGACUUUCUGGACACAAACUGACGCUGAGGUACGAAAGCGUGGGGAGCAAACAGG